rnacentral:rRNA from 1 species
GUCUUUUAGAUUAUAAUUUAAAGUCUGGCCUGCCCUAUGAAAAUUUAAAUGGCCGCAGUAUUUUGACUGUGCAAAGGUAGCAUAAUAAUUAGUUUUUUAAUUGAAAGCUGGAAUGAAAGGUUGAACGAAAAAAUAACUGUCUCAAUUUAAUUUAAUUAGAAUUUUAUUUUUUAGUAAAAAAGCUAAAAUAAUUUUUAAAGACGAGAAGACCCUAUAGAGUUUUAUAUUUAAUUUUUAUAUAUUUUAUAGAAUUUUUUUAUAAUUUUAAAUAUUUUGUUGGGGUGAUAAAUAAAUUUAAGUAACUUUAUUGAUUUUUUACAUUAAUAUAUGAUUAAUUGAUCCAUAUAAAUGAUUAAAGAUUAAAUUACCUUAGGGAUAACAGCGUUAUUUUUUUUUAGAGUUCUUAUCGAAAAAAAAGAUUGCGACCUCGAUGUUGGAUUAAAAUUUAUUUAUGGUGUAGAAGCUAUAAUAUUAGGUCUGUUCGACCUUUAAAAUUUUACAUGAUCUGAGUUUAAACCGGUGUGAGCCAGGUUGGUUUCUAUCUUAAAAUAAAUAAAAUAUUUUAGUACGAAAGGACCAAGUAUUUAUAAAAUUUAUUAUAUUUUGAAUGC